rnacentral:sRNA from 10 species
UUAAAGGAUGUUGGAGUAAACAUCUGCCACCCUGUUGAUCACCAGAGUCGAUUUGGCUGGUCUGGCUGGCUACGUGGGUGUCCCCUUCCUCCCUCACCACUCAGUGUGCAUUCCCCCCAAAGCUGCCCGCUCAGUCAAAGAAGACGACUUUUACUGAUAGUCGGCUUGCUAAUUCUAAGACGCGCGACAGAAUGUUUUGUAAGAGGUGGUGUCAAGUUUUAACUGUCUUACUAACCGUCGUCAAAGUUUA